AGGCGGAGGUGGUAGUCUUGAGUUGUCGGUCUCCUGCAGCCUUGUCUAUCUGCCUGUAUUUCGAGAUGUUCUCAGGAGUUGCAGAGCAACUGUAACUAAAGAAGCAAAAGAAGCUUUUUCAUCUCUGUUAGCCUGUGUAAUAUUGCUGUCCCACCACUGCAUCAUGCUCAGUAAGAGCGAAUUCAGACCACAUCUGCCACUCUUCAUUCUCUUCAAAGCUGUGUUGACUGCGCACCUGGAUCUUGCAGUGCUCCUGCCCUACUAAACUUUCCAGUCAAACAUCUACAUUCAUAAGAAAAGCAAGAAUAUGUAGAAAUUCUAAAGAAAACUAUAUCACCUGAAGAUACGUAUCAGCUAUUAGUAUGAUAUUUUUCUAUUAAAUUAUGACAUGAAAACCUUAUUGAAGGAAAAUAUUUUGUCAUAUAAGAAUGACAAAAAUUCAUAAUCUAUCAUAAGUUUUCUAAGCAUCAAAAUUGACUUUUAAAUAGAGUUUGAAAAUAGAAACAGCAUCAGGAGCUUCUCAUACUCAAGCUGCUCAGAUGUCAUUCAGUGGUCAGGAGUAGCCUGAUGCAGUUAAGCUUUUCUUGAGUGAGAGCAGAUUUGUGUCUUCCAAACAUUAUCACUGCACAUGAGCCUUCAAUUAAUUUAAAUAUUUGAGAUGGACUUUUCCCAGCUGACUAUGAAUUAAGAGCCUUACCUCCUGAGUAGCUGAAAUUUAAGACAUGCGCCAGUGUGUGCUGGGGUAGACAUAAAGCCAUAGGCAUCAUUUUGGCAUAUGAGCACUGUAGCCAGUGCCAAUGUUUGAGGUAUUAUAGAUGUUCUGGUACCAUCAAGCUCUGCCACUUUUAUUUUCUUAGAAUUAUAAGUUUAAGUGGUAAAGUUCUUUCCUCAUGAAGAAAUAUUUGCCAAAGCCUGUAACAUGAUAAAUAAAAGACCCAGAGACUGAUAUUGGGGUUCA
rnacentral:lncRNA from 1 species